rnacentral:rRNA from 1 species
GACAGAGGUGCCGAGCGUUAGGCGGAAUCACUGGGCUUAAAGCGUGUGUAGGUGGAUGCCUAAGUACCUUGUGAAAUCCCACGGCUUAACCGUGGAACUGCUUGGUAUACUGGGUGUCUUGAGCCAGCUAGGGGCUACCGGAACAAAUGGUGGAGCGGUGAAAUGCGUAGAUAUCGUCUGGAACGCCGAAGGUGAAAACAGACUGCUGGGGAUGAGCUGACGCUGAGACACGAAAGCCAGGGGAGCGAACGGG